GACGCAGUAGGAUAGGCGAAGCGUGCUGUUGGAGUGCACGUCCAAGCAGUGAGAUUGAGUGUUAGGCAAAUCCGGCACUCUUAAGAUUGAGCUGUGAUGGGGAGAGGAACUUGUUCCUCGAGUCGUUGAUUUCACACUGCCGAGAAAAGCCUCUAGCUAGAAUAACGGUGCCCGUACCGCAAACCGACACAGGUAGUCAAGAUGAGAAUUCUAAGGUGAGCGAGCGAACUCUCGUUAAGGAACUCGGCAAAAUGACCCCGUAACUUCGGGAGAAGGGGUGCUCUUUGAGGUUCACGCUUCGAAGAGCCGCAGUGAAUAGGCCCAAGCGACUGUUUAUCAAAAACACAGGUCUCUGCUAAACCGUAAGGUGACGUAUAGGGGCUGACGCCUGCCCGGUGCUGGAAGGUUAAGAGGAGUGGUUAGCGCAAGCGAAGCUACGAAUCGAAGCCCCAGUAAACGGCGGCCGUAACUAUAACGGUCCUAAGGUAGCGAAAUUCCUUGUCGGGUAAGUUCCGACCCGCACGAAAGGCGUAACGAUUUGGGCACUGUCUCAACGAGAGACUCGGUGAAAUCAUAGUACCGGUGAAGAUGCCGGUUACCCGCGACAGGACGGAAAGACCCCGUGGAGCUUUACUGUAGCCUGAUAUUGAAAUUCGGUACAGUUUGUACAGGAUAGGUAGGAGCCUUAGAAGCGUGAGCGCUAGCUUACGUGGAGGCAUUGGUGGGAUACUACCCUAAUUGUAUUGGAUUUCUAACCCGCAGCACUUAUCGUGCUGGGAGACAGUGUCAGGCGGGCAGUUUGACUGGGGCGGUCGCCUCCUAAAGAGUAACGGAGGCGCUCAAAGGUUCCCUCAGAAUGGUUGGAAAUCAUUCAUAGAGUGUAAAGGCAUAAGGGAGCUUGACUGCGAGACCUACAAGUCGAGCAGGGUCGAAAGACGG
rnacentral:rRNA from 1 species